CAGGGGGUGAGUCUUGGACAAAGGUCGAAAGCCGGAGGGAGCAACACCGCUUGAUGGAGGAGGGGCAUCGGGUCGUAAAACUCUGUCCUCAAUGAUGUUAAGGAGGGUACUUGAGGAGGAGGCCCCGGCUAACUACGUGCCAGCAGCCGCGGUAAUACGUAGGGGGCUAGCGUUAUCCGGAUUUACUGGGCGUAAAGGGUGAGUAGGCGGUCUUUCAAGUCAGGAGUGAAAGGCUACGGCUCAACCGUCGUAAGCUCUUGAAACGGGGAGAAUGGGGUGCAGGCGAGGAGAGUGGACUUCAUAGUGUAGCGGUGAAAUGCGUAGAUAUUAGGCGGAACACCAGUUGCGAAGGCGGCUCCCUGGACUGUAACUGACGCUGCGGCACGACAGCGUGGGGAGCAAACAGG
rnacentral:rRNA from 1 species